rnacentral:rRNA from 1 species
UACGAAGGGGGCUAGCGUUGUUCGGAUUUACUGGGCGUAAAGCGCACGUAGGCGGAUCGUUAAGUCAGGGGUGAAAUCCUGGAGCUCAACUCCAGAACUGCCUUUGAUACUGGCGAUCUUGAGUCCGGAAGAGGUGAGUGGAACUCCUAGUGUAGAGGUGGAAUUCGUAGAUAUUAGGAAGAACACCAGUGGCGAAGGCGGCUCACUGGGACGGUACUGACGCUGAGACGCGAAAGCGUGGGGAGCGAACGAG